rnacentral:rRNA from 1 species
UACGGGGGGCAAGCGUUGUUCGGAAUUACUGGGCGUAAAGGGCUCGUAGGCGGCCAACUAAGUCAGACGUGAAAUCCCUCGGCUUAACCGGGGAACUGCAUCUGAUACUGGAUGGCUUGAGUUCGGGAGAGGGAUGCGGAAUUCCAGGUGUAGCGGUGAAAUGCGUAGAUAUCUGGAGGAACACCGGGUGGCGAAGGCGGCAUCCCUGGACCGACACUGA